rnacentral:rRNA from 1 species
CCCCCAAAAGAACUUCGCAUGGACGAAGUCUGACGGAGCAACGCCGCGUGAGUGAUGAAGGUUUUCGGAUCGUAAAGCUCUGUUGUUAGGGAAGAACAAGUACCGUUCGAAUAGGGCGGUACCUUGACGGUACCUAACCAGAAAGCCACGGCUAACUACGUGCCAGCAGGGGCGGUAAUACGUAGGUGGCAAGCGUUGUCCGGAAUUAUUGGGCGUAAAGGGCUCGCAGGCGGUUUCUUAAGUCUGAUGUGAAAGCCCCCGGCUCAACCGGGGAGGGUCAUUGGAAACUGGGGAACUUGAGUGCAGAAGAGGAGAGUGGAAUUCCACGUGUAGCGGUGAAAUGCGUAGAGAUGUGGAGGAACACCAGUGGCGAAGGCGACUCUCUGGUCUGUAACUGACGCUGAGGAGCGAAAGCGUGGGGAGCGAACAGGAUUAGAUACCCUGGUAGUCCACGCCGUAAACGAUGAGUGCUAAGUGUUAGGGGGUUUCCGCCCCUUUGUGCUGCAGCUAACGCAUUAAGCUCUCCGCCUGGGGAGUACGGUCGCAAGACUGAAACUCAAAGGAAUUGACGGGGGGGGGCACAAGCGGUGGAGCAUGUGGUUUAAUUCGAAGCAACGCGAAGAACCUUACCAGGUCUUGACAUCCUCUGACUUUCCUAGAGAUUGGACGUCCCCUUCGGGGGCAGAGUGACAGGUGGUGCAUGGUUGUCGUCAGCUCGUGUCGUGAGAUGUUGGGUUAAGUCCCGCAACGAGCGCAACCCUUGAUCUUAGUUGCCAGCAUUCAGUUGGGCACUCUAAGGUGACUGCCGGUGACAAACCGGAGGAAGGUGGGGAUGACGUC